ensembl:lncRNA
UGUGGAUUAUCUUCCGAAGCUGCUGUUCUGCUUCUAAAAGUGUUUUUGUCUGUCUUCGGUCGUCCCCGGUGAGAAGCGGCGCUGAACUCUUCCCAUCCUGUGUUUUAAAGCAGCUUAAGUGCUCCUCCAUGCCGCUGAUUUCCUUGUAGGCCUUAAGAAGUGAUCACCUUCCUGCAAUGCCCUCAGGAUUAAACAGGCCAGGCCCGUCCUCUCCCCGUGCUUCGCCCCUACCUUUGUAGUCAAUAAAAGACUAACUAGAAAAGAAUGAGGAGAUGGGAGAAUCAAUCUACUGGAAGCCUCCCCACAGUUUUCUCAUCACUUCUUGUGUCGUGUGUCAUCUCUGUCCAUAACGGGGGAGAAGAACAAACUCAGUAUGUGGGAUGAAGGGUUUUUUUAGUACGGACUGAGAAAAUAGAGUCAGAGACACAGAAAAAAAAGAGUGAUUUUGAUGGAAUGAGUGAGGGAGAUGAGUUGUGUUCCGACUCACAGCGGGGACGAGUGCUACACGAGCGGCCGUGUUUUCCCUCAGCGUCCGGGGAACUGCUAAAGACGGCAGACGUCGUGCUUGUUUAAGCUUCAGUGUGGGAAGCAGGGGCCAUUCUGGGAUUUCAGGCCAGAAACACUUUACACAAAACACUAGGCCAACUCAUUGCAAGUGUGUGAUGCUGCUAACCGUACUGUAUUUUCUGUGCUGCUAACAAACCUCAGUACUGAAGGAGUG